UGGGUCCUUCAAAUAGAGCGUAAAUAGAACAGAAACGAAGUCCGACCAAUGUCGUUGGAGCUCAAGCAUCCCACAUAGGGCGCCCGGGCGGUGAGCGGUGGUCUUUGACGCUUAAGGCUUCAAAAGGGGCACCCAAGCUUCGUGCUUCUGAUGCUCAAGUGCCCCCAAAGGGGCGCUCGAGCGCUGAGCAACACUCUUCUGUGCUUAAGCCUCCAAAAUGGGCGCCCAAGCUUCGAGCAUUCCUCCCUUCUGG
rnacentral:lncRNA from 1 species